GACCCAGCAUGGUAUAGUGGUUAGUGUUGGACUAUGACUCUGGGGACCAGGGUUCAAAUCCCAGCUCAGUCA